rnacentral:rRNA from 1 species
AUUGAACGCUGGCGGCAGGCCUAACACAUGCAAGUCGAGCGGAGGAGCGGACGCGGGAGUGAUGGCUAGGAAUCUGACUGGGAGUGGGGGAUAAAGUCAGGAAACGGGCGCUAAUGCUGCAUACUCUCAGCUGAGGCUGGGUCGGAUUAGCUAGUUGGUGGGGUAAAGGCCUACCACGGCGACGAUCCGUAACUGGUCUGAGAGGAUGAUCAGUCACACUGGAACUGAGACACGGUCCAGACUCCUACGGGAGGCAGCAGUGGGGAAUAUUGGACAAUGGGCGAAAGCCGGAUCCAGCCAUGCCGCGUGUGUGAAGAAGGUCUUCGGAUUGUAAAGCACUUUAAGUUGGGAGGCGUUACCAACAGAAUAAGCACCGGCUAACUUCGUGCCAGCAGCCGCGGUAAUUC